rnacentral:rRNA from 1 species
UACGAAGGUCCCAAGCGUUAUCCGGAUUUAUUGGGUUUAAAGGGUGCGUAGGCGGACUAUUAAGUCAGUGGUGAAAGCUCUCAGCUUAACUGGGAAACUGCCAUUGAUACUGAUGGUCUUGAGUAUGAUUGAAGUGGGCGGAAUGUGUCAUGUAGCGGUGAAAUGCUUAGAUAUGACACAGAACACCGAUUGCGAAGGCAGCUCACUAAGCCAUAACUGACGCUGAUGCACGAAAGCGUGGGGAGCAAACAGG